rnacentral:lncRNA from 1 species
CGUGGCAUUGGUUGUGUUGUGCAAGUGUGCUUUCGUCAGGAUCAGUAAUUUUCAAAUUUCAAUUUUUUGACUUCGUUUUAAAUUUGUAGUAAUACACAUGAGAAGUAUAUAAGUGGGGAAUGGAUUUAUGUUGUACGGUGGUAUUAAGGCAAGACAAAACGCAGGAUGAUGUAUCACCGCUCACCAAACUCUCGAAAGCAAACACGAAUUGGAAACAGGAAAG